GAAAAAACCGAAGAAAGGAAACAGAGAGGGGGGGAGAGAGAGAGAGACGUUGAGAGAUCGAGAUGGGCACCGAGCAAGAGAGGAGGACAGAGGGAGGUUCGGAUCAAAAGAAAGGAAACGGAGAGGGCGAGACUGUGAUGGAAGCUCGGAUGGAAGCUCGGAUGGAAGCUCGAAGCAGAGAGGGAGAACUGCUAUGAGAGAUGAGAAAGGGUUCAAGAAAGAUGGGAGCAAGGCCUGAUAGCUAGUUGACUCAGGUGUGAGGAACUAGGGGAACCCAAUUUAGUUGUGGGUAUCUUUAGGUCAAUUUGGAAUAUGGCUUGUCAUGGGAAUGGUAAUGAUGAUAUAUAACUCGUUCGGUCAUGCUUGAAAUCGAUUGGGAUGGAGGAGAUUGAUAUUAUGCAUUUUGAAGGCCAAUUCGAUGAACUAUAUAUUAAUUUGGGAAUCAUCGGAAUGUGUGUGAUUUUAAGAGGCAAGUGAUGAAUUCAAGAGCUUUAUCUUGGAAAUAAGCGUAUGGAGUGGAUGAAUUGAAUUAUAUGUAGAUAAGGGUAAGUCCUAGUGAUAUUAUUGUUUAUAGCCAUGAGACGAUCACUGAUCCGACGGGAUAUAAACAGGGACGCUUAAAUCGCUGAUCCGGCGAGAUAUAAAAAGGGACGCCUAGACCGCUGAUCCAGCGAGAUACAAAAAAGGACGCUUAGACUGCUGAUUCGGCGGGAUACAAAAAGGGACGCCUAGACCGCUGAUCCGGCGGAAUACAAAAAGGGACGCCUAAACUGUUGAUUCGACGGGAUAUAAAAUGGACGCCUAGACUCCUACUGUCGGAGGAUAACAGGCGGCCCUUGCUUAUGAGAAAUCAAAUAAGGAGUUUGUGGAUAUGAAUACGGGGUCACGGUACGUCGAAACUCUAUCGCGAGGAUUGUUACCCUAUGGCUACUAUUAUUUGUUGCUUUAGAAUGAUUGUUUGAGUUAUGUGAUAUUGAAUUGGCUGAUAAGAGAAAUGCUAAAUACUAGAAAGUAGGUGUAUAUAUAUAUAUAUCAUUAAAAAUUUUGAAGUAAAUGAUAUGACUGUAAUUGUUGAUGUGAAUGCACAAACAAGUUGAUAUUUCUUUUUAUUGUGGAAUGUAAUACUCACUGAGAUACAGCUCA